AGCCGACCCGGCCUCGGCCCGCACCGCUGGCCCGCGCUGCCCCGGUUCCACGCCUGAGUGAGUCCCGCUUCUUUGCUCCCUACCGGUGCUGCUCUUGCUCUGGGUCUCUUUCUCGGCUUGCCUCCGUUUUCUGCGGAUGCGGAACCGAUCCAAACUUCUCAGUGGCUCCAGCUGGGGCGACUCUGCACCCCUAGGGUGCCGCGGUCUUGCUAGCCCUUCUCUCGCGCCCGCUCUGGUACUCGGGAGGACUGGACUGGUGAAGUGAGGGACGUGGCCGGGAUGCGGACUUACUUGGUGUCCUUGCCUCUCCCGCACACCUGCCCCGCAGUCCCUGGUUAGACACUUUCGUCCAGGUCGUGGGCAUGGCCCGCUUGAGAGGACGAAGGCGGAGUGGGGGGAAGCCCUCGGCGGGCAAGCGGGGAAAGGGGAGCCGCUCCGUGAGCCCCGGUGUCGGGAAGGCGGCGAGGUGCCGGGUGGAGUUGGAAAGGUCGGGCGCCCGAUCUAAGAGUUCACUCAUCAUCCUCUCCCAGCCCAUCUCCUCCUGUUCUUUUCUGGCCAGCCUUUCUUCUGGUGGCGAGCGGAGGUGGAGGGGGACCUGGGAAGUUUGUGGCAACUUCUCUAUCCCGGGAGCCACUCGGGCGUUGGGCGCUCAAGUUGGAGCCCAGAGUUUAAGAGCCGAAGUACAGCGCUCGUGCAGCCCACGCGGGCGAUCGCGGGUCGAUCCUGGAGGUGUUUGGGCUUGGGCGGGAAGCUGGAGGAGGUACGUGGUGUCUUAGUUUUGGGGCUAUGGCCGCACAGGUGCAGCCCCAGGGUCAACUCUUCAUUUCCCUGUGACAGUACACAACCAAGAGCGGCGGCCUUCUACAGUGUUCCUCUACUGCAGGGCUCCCAGAGUGGCCAAACUGGGGUUGGGGAGCCCGAAUGCAAGGGAUUAAAGGGCAAGUGGCAGGCUCGGACAGUGACACGUGCGUGUGCCUGGCCGAGCAAAACAGGUCCCUUCUGGGAUGAUCCCAGAAGACCGAGAGGACAGCAGCUUAGAGCUCAGGGUAGAGGUUUUGGCCCUGGCCUCCACUAGGGCCACGUUUUACUUAACAAGAUGUCAGCCACAGGGUCAUCUUCCAAAAAUGCCCGGUUGACAAUUUUGACCCCUGCGCCCUUCCUGGGAGAACUUUCUCUGUGGUAUACCGGAUUCCCAGGGUUAAGACUUGAAUUUCACUUGUCCAUAGGGACAGGAAGACACCUAAUUCCCUGGAGAGAACCUCUUCUGCUCCCGAUUGAUUGGCUGAGGUUCCAUAUUUGUACCCUUGGAGGCCAGAGCACCCGACUUUCCCAGAAAGACAGAAGAGGGGAAUGAGCUAGUCUGGCCUCUCUCCGCCAGGAGUCAGGUUCUGUCUUUAAGCAGUAUCUGGGUUUUACAGAGUUUGCACCUGGUGACAGACUUCCAAACUUUACUUAAAUUCACACCUUGCUCAAAGUGAUUUUCUGAAAGAGUGAAAUUUUAUUUCGUAGUCAGAUUCUCCAGAUAGAUAGAUGGAUUCAGUAAGUAUGUAAGUUGUGGCCAUAAUUUAAACCCAAGGAAAGCGGUGUUGCGGUGUUGACUCUAAACCCCUUUAUGAAUCCUCCAUGUAGGACUCGUGCUAUGACUUAGCAGCGGUUCUUUAUUUCUAUGGCAUAUUAUUUUUGUAGAACAGUAGUAAGUGCAUACACUGGCUGCUCCAGUCUGCUGGCAAACAUUAGCAUUCAAGCUUACAUUUUUGACAAAUGUGCAGACAGGAAUAGCAUGAAUAGGCAUCUUAAAUAUUAACAACCCAAGCAUCUGUUGUGAAACAAAUUUAAUAUAUUUACUCAGUCUUUCUCACAUUGUUAGGAAAGGUUAUAAUAAGUGCUUAAUUUCAACUUAACUUAGCAGAAGUAACUGGCGGCAUCAUUCACUACCUCCCAAGCUCUAACACAGUUACCCGGCAGAAAGACUUUAAUUAACUUGGUUAAGGGCAUUGUUAAAUAAAUACACUUUAAGCAAUGUGCAUGCUAUAUAACAUGCAAAAGUGCCGAAAUAGCCAUCCUGUUUGUGUGCAUUUUAAAUGACCUCAUCUUAUAAAUAUACCAAGUAUGUUUGUUCUUCAUCUCCAUUUGACACUUAUUAGUUCAUUUUUCUAAUGGCAACAAUAUUUUAAAUGUAGAGUUGUUCAGUCGUAUGUAAUACAUAAUAUGUAAACAGUAGCAAUAAAAUACAAGGCAUUGUUAAAUUUGAAUAUGGCUACAUGUAACAAGGUUAUGCAAGAGAAAUAAAAUCACUGCUCAAUUUUGUUUUCCUUUCUGAAUAAUGAAUCCAGAUGAUGGAUGAAAAAAGAACAAAUAGGGAUUUCCUCCCUGAAGUAAUAGCUUCUUAAAAUGUAUGCGAGGUAGGAGAGGGAGAACAAUGAUAAAGACCUAAAGAACUUCCCAAAUCCACACAGCUAUUUCCAGAAUCAAUGCAUUCCUUACUUUCCCACAAGCUGAAAUAUGUAAUAAAUAAUAGUUCUUUGUAUGUAAAAGUAUUCACAAGGAAUGCCUUUUGUUCCCUUGUAAUAAAUUAAUAUAUUCUUCUUCAGUUGAUAAUCUACAAAAGUAGUUCCUUGUCUCUUGGCAUUUUCAACAAAAGCAACAACAAAAUGAAUAUUGGUUUAGUCUUCAAAGAAGUCUGUUGCCAGCUCUGUGAACCUGUGACUGAAUAGGACAUGCUGUCGCUGAGUGAUAGCUGAGAAACACCACAUUCAACUAGCAAGGGCUGAAGAUCUAGGGGGAAUCUCAAUGCUGUUUUCAUGUGACAGGUUGUGGGUUGUAAAUUAGGCCUAAAAGGUCAGGUGACAGGCACCUGCUCCUCAUUAUUGUAGAAAUCUUUUGGUUACAAACAGCGUUAAGCUAAACACAACAUGGGUAUGGAACAGGGGCUGUCUAAAGCACUCCAGUAGUUUUACCUGCUUUGUAAAUGUCUAAACAGCACAUACACAGAAGCCAUUUCUUCCCUACAUGUUAUCUUGUAUGAUUGCAAUUAAUAUUAUGUUAGUACUUGGAACUGAUGAAGUACAUAAGUGCAUGACUAAAUCAAUCUUCUAAUUAUGUCUAGACAUUGUAGUGGAAUGUAGAAAAUAUUUUUCCUUAAAAGAAAAAAAAAACCCGUUUUUCCUUUGCAAAUUAUUGAUUGAUUGUCAGAAUCGUGUUCAUGUUUUACCUGGAAAACCUUGCCAAGUCCAAGUGUCCUUUUAUACUUUUUAGAUGAAUUCUCAUUUAAAAUGAUACCACAAAAUUUUGUUUCUCAGCACCCAUAGAUGAGGGGGAAACGAGUUGCUCUGUUUUGCAGUAGCUUCGUGCCAUACAUAGAAUGGAAAGAAAAGCACAUUGUACAGGAAUGUAGGAAGGCUCUUCAGACCUGGCUGUUCUCUUGGGAGUAUUCAGAGUUCUUCCUGUUGAAAGAGGGGAGCAUCGCUUAAUCCCUAUAAGUGGCUUCCUUUUACACGUUCCAGAGAGCAAACUGUGCAUGUCCAUAGAAGAGACCACACCAGCAUAAGGUGACAGAAUAUUAGAGGUGCCAGUUGCUUUUAAUUAGCAGAGGAGGAUGAUUGUGAGUAAAGUAAAUAACUCAGGUUAUUCGGUUCUGUUAUUAAAAUAUGUUCUUUAUCCUUUUUGCCUUUAAAUAGUUUGUGCUUAUUAUAUGAAGCACUCCUUUUUGGUAUUUGCUUUUGAAAUUGAUUUAGUUCUCAUAUUCUAAAACUGUGUGAUGAUUUUUUUAAAAAUAAAGUUAAUUAAUAGAUCAGGCAAAAAAAAAAUAACCCACAGUAGGGUAUAUUUUCUGGUAAAAUGAAAGUUAUGUUUCAGCAUGAUGAACACCAGGCUUCAGUAGUCUGCUCCUCGUGUGCACUGAGCACUUCCUACUUCGAGCUAGCAGGCACCUACUGUUUAUUUACGCUGCAUUAAACUGACAGCUCAGCAAUCAGAGGAAAAAUAUUACUUACCUUCCUGAAGUAAAUACCAGUUUAUAGGUUAGUGCACGUAUUUAUAUUCCUGUCACCACUAAAUAAUGGCUCUGUCUCUGUUUUAAUAUCUACCUGGGCUGUAACCCAGCGAUUCACACUGUUCCUGGCUGGGAGGAAGGGGUCGACAGGAGUUUUUCUUCCCGUUCCCUGGUGGCAAAACUCUUAAAAAAGAAUCGUUUCAUAUUCUCAUCUCUGUCAUGUGAAAACUAGUUGGGAGAGAUGUUGGACACUUUUCCCGUGCACCCCCACUGCAGCAUCAACCCCCCAGCAUGUUGGCAUGCCACUAAACACAGUCAUCCUGAGGCCUCCCCUGGACGGAUGUGCACAAGCACAGUCAAGUAUGCCUUUGCUAAAUUAACUUUCCACAGAGUUCCAAACAGAUCAAACUAUGUGAUUCCUUAGAUUGCGUCUGCGAUAAGGACCCUUCCCUUCCCAUUCUUGGGUGGAAUGCUUCAGUUUUUAAUACAGUUCUGCAAAGAUACCUAUAAAGUAGAAUUUACUGUUUGGGCGAUUGCUUCUUAGCUUUGCUCUAAACAGGCUGGCUUCCCUUCCUUCCUUCCUUCCUCCCUCCCUUCCUUCCUUCCUUCCUUCCUCCCUUCCUUCCUUCCUUCCUUCCUUCCUUCCUUCCUUCCUUCCUUCCUCACUUUCUCUUUAUUGUUAAUCUGCCAUCCUCAAAAUAAGUGUUGUUGCUACUUUUAUUUUAUAAUACUGAAUAUACCUGUUUCUUCAAUUCAAGGUCCCUCUCUUUCAGGGUCCCCUUGAGACCUCAAAAAUCCUGCUAACGUUGAAUGCUCAAACUCAUGGUUAGCUCAAGAAAAUGCUUAUUGUUGUUUAAAUUGUCUAAGGAGCUCUCGGACUUACUGCCUGUACACAGUUGUCAAUCCCUAACCACAUACUCCACAAACAUCAGAGCAGACUCUGCUCUUAAUACAGCAACCAUGUAAAUUAAAUCUGUUACACAAGGUUCUUCCCCUCCACUCUCCCAAAGAAAAGUAUCUCCCGUGUAAUUUAUAUAGCAUUGCUAACUGCUGUUCUCAAUGGUGAGUCUAUUUAAACUUGAUGUCUUCAUAAAGUGUGAUCAAUACAUUAACACACAUUAUUUUGUACUUUUGAUCUUAUGCCAACAGUACCUUUUGCUGUUUAUUUCUUUAAAGUCUUUUUUAAGAUCAGAUAUUUCAUUGUAGAGUAAAUAGAUACAGAUUGUGUGUAUAUAUAUUCCGGGUGAGAUUUAGUAGUAGAGAAUUUCUCUAGCAUAUUGGCCUAUUUUUAUUCCUUCAAGUCAUUCUGUAUCACUUGCACAGUUGUUGCUGUCUGAAGGUUUGUAAUAGUAUUUCUAACCCCCUCCUCCUUCAAUGGACUUUCAAGGAUGUGAUUCAGUUAGUCAGGGAUCUAGUUCAGUUGUAAGAGAUGAAAAAUAGUUAGCUGAUAUCCCAGAAUUUAUGCCACUGCUUUCUGCUGGAAUUUAUUUGGUCCAGUUAUAUGACAUUUAGUGGAGAAGUAGCUUGGAAUCGAACAUUCAGAAUCUGCUCUGUUUCCAGGGGAGGGCAUAUCUUGCUGGAUAAAGCUUUUACAUGUGUAUUAUUUUAUUUUAACCAUCACUCAUUUUGGAGCCCCACUUGUUGUUGAACACGGUUUUGAAUACUAGGGGUGCAGGUCCCAGUAAUGAGGGGGAACCCUUGCAGAGGAGGUAGAUGUCUGGCUUCACCUGCUUGUGACUUUACUAGAAUGCCUGGGGAUCUAAGCCAGCCUCCCUCUGCUGCUCCCUUCACUCCCUCCACCUAGGUGUGCAGGAAGUAGAGGGCGUUCUACCCAGCUGAAGGGGGUGGACUCUACUCAGAGCUAUGACCUGAUUUGUGGCGCACCCUCAGAUCUGCAGACAUGGUCCAGCUGCUUCCCAGGCAACUGGUAACCACCUCAUUUUGGGCGAGCCUGCCUUGCUAACGUGCCAGAGAGAACUUCGCACUGUCACCCCAUCAAAGACUUUUUUCUUCUAGGGCUAGAGUCGGAGACCAGCCUCUGGUAUUUGAGAGGGUAAGUGUCAGAAGUUACGACUUGGUUCCAUGUGGAGAAUCAGAUUGCAGCCACCGGGACUGACAGACGGAUUGCUCUGGUGUGUAGGUGGGCAUUUGUCUGUGGGAUAUCGCUUUCUUCCCCUUAACUGUGGGUGAUUUGGGAUCAGGUUCCUAGGACAGGUUUCCAGUGUGCAUUCAGCCCUCAUUCUUCCUUGGAUGGUGAGAUGUGCUAGUAGUCUCCACGAGGGAAAUUCGGAGACCUUCUUUCCUUUAGGUAUUUAAAGAAAAGGCAGCGUGUCAUCUGUGUGGUGGGGAAUUCUUCAGAUGUAGUUUUCCUGGAAGCCAGAGCUGAUGGCUACAGAUUCCUCUGUAAUCUUACUCAGUAUUUUCUAGUGUGCUAUUAAAAGGGUGUAUAUGACAGUGUGGCCUUUUAAUGUUUUCAGUAUAUUAAAGACUUAAAGGCAAAAGAAAUUUUAUGUUCUAAAUAUUUCAUUGUAAUAAUUUUAUAAGCAAAAUAAAAUCACUAUGCAGAUAUCUUUUGAAGUGAAGGGAUCCCUGAGUAGUUUGUAGCCAUAAUCAGCUGUUUGAUGCUGAACGCAAUUGAGUUUUCCUGUUCCAGGGAACCAGACAAUGGGAAUCAUUGGAGAUCAACAACAAUUAAUUCUAUGCAAUUCUUGAUAUUUAGCAAGCUGUUCCUUUGCCAAGAAAAUAUUUUAUUAGUGAUUGAAGCACAAAAUACAAAUGCUUACAGCUUUACAUUUUCAGAGAUUCUGUUGAAGUCACAAAAUAAUCUAAAGGAAACAACAGAUGCCUUGCUUAAUGGUAGACCAGUUCUCUAGUCUGUGGGAGGCACGAACUCUGCUUCCAAAAACUCUUCGAGGUGAGCUACUCUUCUGAUGGUUUAAGAGGACUAAGAAACAAUUUAGAACAUUAUCUUAAAAGUUUAAAAAUGACAGCCUUACUGUGUAUGGAGUCAUUGUAUUUUAAUCAUACUGUAUGCUUAUUAGUGUUAUUAGAGCAGUAGACGGUUAAUUACAGCCUUUUUCUGAGACGUGUUAACUGUAUAUUAACAGCCAUGUUAAGAAAGAAUGAUGUAUGCUCUUGGAUACAAGCUGCUGCUUGCUAGAUUCUUGAAAAAUACCUUUACAAAUGUAUGGAGUCACAUUUUUGGUCAAGAAUCAUCAAGGGUUUUCACUAAGAUACUUUAAUUUUAAAACUUCUACAAGUUAUGGAAUGCCUUUGUUUUCCCUUGUUCCAUUAGCUUUGGCUCCCUGGCUUUUGCUCCUGGCAUUACACGUGGCCAUCACUCUGUAGUAUUAGCUUUUCCAUCCUGUAUUUUGAGAUGUCCACAUGUUCUUGUUUCUGACUUUGGCCAAUAAGAAGCAUGAGAAGCACACUGAGUUGAUUUAGUUUGAUAAAUAUAUUUCUUUUUUUGGUGUGGAAUCAUUGUAGCUAAUGUUCUUUAGUCAAAUUGUAUUAUUCUCAAUUCCAUAUAACCCAAUACUUGAAAUAUAUUUGAAUAGCCGACCACAGCGAUGAUUUUAUUGCUUAAAUCUCAAACCUAGGUUUUAGCAAUGGCUUCUGUCACAGCGAAACAAUAAGUGAGUGGAACCACAGGGUUUUAAUACCUAAACACUUCCCGUGGAUUGGUUAACUGAAUUCCCUUGAUGGAUCUGUAGACCUUGUAAUCUCAUAAUAUAGCAUUUAAAAAACACAGGCGCAUUCCUAUGUUGGGAAGCCUAUAGGUACUGCUGUUUUGUAUUAUCAUACAAGGUAUUAAACUAAAAAACGGAAUUAAGUAUAAGCUACACUUCUGUACCACACAAACUGAACUGAAGGGACAGUUCGCCUUCUCUGUCUUGCAUAUAGCAAGCACUCAUUUAAGGAGAGCAAAAUUAAUAAUUGGGUAAUAGUGAAUAUAGCUUGUGCUGGUAAAGGUUUAUUGAAAAAAAAAAGAGACUUUUCUUCAAAGCUUUUCAUUUUUUGCUCAUACAUGAGCAUCUGAUCCUCCCGUGAUCCAGUUGGGUAGAUUAUUUAAUGUUUCCCUUUAAGUGUGUCCCUUCUUUAAGCGUGUCCUCUGUCCUCUGCUGGGUUUUGGAUAACAGCACUAGAGUUUCUGUCUUAUCCUUUCCUUUAGGAUUAUGUCAAGUUUCUGUUUAGCUUCAUGGUGCUUUGCUGUUGGGCUGUGGUAACAAACUUCACCAUAAUCAACCCAAAGCAAUACCCUGCAUUUCAGGUUGGGCUUCCACAUAGGGGUCAGGCUGGUAUUCCAGAGCCCAGCAAAGGGCUGGUGAGUGGUGCCAGUCUCCUUGAUCUCUACCCCCUCUUUCCAACUCCAGUGAUGUUUUCUCAGGACCACAUUAUGUAGAUGUCAGCCAUGAUGAAUGCAUAGAGACAAAAAAAUCCCUGUAGUUACGAGCCUCAUGUACCAAUAGGAUAGGAUUUGGGGUGCUUAUAUGAGAGGCUUUCCAUUCACCCCUUAAAACAUACACAGGAGUCAACAAUAGGGCUCCUUAGCUAGAUGUUAACUUUUGCAAAGGUUACAGGCAUUCUUUGAAAGUUAUCUAAAAAAGAGACCUCUUUAAAAAUUUUUAUUGUGUUUUUAAAGCAUGCGUGGGACUAUUUGCAAGACAUUCCUAUUUAGUUACAUUCCAAAAAAUAUGCUUUAAGUGGUGCACUGCUGUGUGACCUAUUGCGUUAUCACACACAUUCUGUCUCUUUAAAAACACACUCUCCUCUAUCUGCCCUAUUAAUUGUUGAUAUGUUGCCAUCCACGAGACAAAAAUUAGAGCUGUAAUUAAAUAAUCAUGUGAUGCUCCUUAGUGCCAGUGAGAGCAAACUCAUUUUUCCAGGCCCUGAUGGUCACUGAUUAUUGUAUUACCACUGGCUUGCUUGAUUUUUUUUAACGAUUCUCUCUGUAGCUUCCCUAACCACUGUCCUUUGCAAAAUUAAAGAAACUAGCAGACAUUGAGACAGUUAAUUGCCUGGAGGGAGGUCCUGAGGGAUAAAAGGUAGGGUUACCUUUUUUUUCUUUGCCUUUGGUCACCUGGUAGGUUCUUUGGGAAGGCUACAUCACUAGUGUGGUUGGCUGCCAUUUAAUUUACACUGGUGUUUUGGCUGGGAUGAAGGCAUAUGGGGAAUGCCAGGAGAAUUACAAAAGGAGCUGGGUAUUAAAAUUCAGAAAUGAUUAAAAUUGAAAUAAAAGGAUGCUGCUUCUUUGCCAGUGCUCUGGCAGUCAUAAUGACACAUAGAGAUUCGCCUCUGCCUUCAUCCUCUCCUACUUUCUCAUUUCCUCUUGUUUAUUGUUGACACAUUUUCCUUAUGUCUGCCUCUCAUCUCUGUAUCUUUUGUACUAUUAUGUGUUUCUCCUUCUCUCGCUUUCCUUAAGCAUGGAGAAGCCUACUUAACCUUAUUAUAACAAUAACAGAAUAGGUUAUUAAUAUUUAAUAUGCACAUGAUUAAAAUUUCUCUCCCUUAAACAUAGGUCAGCUGUAUUAUUAUUAACCAGCAUGUAAUUUUUCAUUUAAAAUAUUCCUACUCUGCCUUGCCGUUUCUGAAAUGCCUUCUACUUUAGUAGUGAUUUAAUACAUAAUGUUUAGAAAACUGUGGACGGCUACUGAGAAAAGAACUUACCAGUCAUGGAUAAUCAAUUAUGCAUGAAUUCAAAUGUAGCAGAUGGAAUCUGGUGAGUUAAAGUUUCUCUAUGCCUUAGCUUUUUUUUUUUAAUUUGUUUGUUUGACACCUGUCUCUUAUAUAUAGAUAAACAUCUAAUAUGGCAUGUGAGACAUUUCCUUGUGUCUUUAUUUCCCUUUUAAAGUGAACAGAGUUUUUACAUUCAAUGUAAAGGCACAGACACCUUGAUCUGUCCCUAAACAUCUGCUUCUGUCCCUUUGUUUUAUAGAUGUGGAAUCCCCCUUAGCUAAUGGCCACUCAGCUGGAUAGUGGGGUGGGAAGGAAGACCCACACCUAGUUUCUAUUCUUCACUCUUGUUUUCUACUGAAUCAGAGACCCUUUCAGUGGGAGUUGCUUAAUAAUAGGGUAUUACACUAACUGUUGGUUUUAAAGGCUUUCUGAUGAAAACAGCGGUGCCCCACUUUUUAAUUGAGUAAUCUAUUCUUGCAUGUUAUGCAAGUGUUAACUGUACAUUUAUCAUGUUAUACCAUGUGCACAUUAUAUACACACAUGAUAUUUAUACAUACUUAGAUAUAGGCCAAGCCAUUGGGUUUUGCAAGUUUAUUAUGGAUACCACAAGAGUUAGCUUUAUAUCCUAAACUGUAGCCACUUCCAGCCUCAAAGAUACACUUGUUUAAAGCUGUGUAAACUUCUAGUGAUAAAUUCCCUUCCUACAAAGGGAACUCAAGACUUGGUUUCAAGGGCCUUACUAACUCAAGGAGAGAAAAGAAGUCUCAUCUUUAUUCAGUGUGCUUUGCUUCUACUGUAACAGGAGAAAAGUCGGUACUGAGCAUCCUUCAAGCAGUACAGUCUCCAGACAGUUACAAGCUGGCCUCCAUCAAAAUUGUGUACAAACAAGCGCGUUGUCUCUCUCCCACAUGUGUUUAUAUAUAAAAAAUACAAAUAAAAAAAGGGUUUUACCAAGUAAAAAUAAAUGAUUAAAAAAUAGCUUCAAGGCCCUUUAGUUCUUGAAAAGUAUAGUGUAGUAUUAUUUAUAAACAUUUUGGUUCUUAUCAGCUGGAAGUUUACAUGGAAACUAGUCCAUGUUACUUCUCUAGUAAAUUAAGUCUCACAAUGAACAUGUUAAUGAGAGGCACCUUCCAGACAGGUAACUAGGCCUUCCACAGCUAAACUGUCAACCUAUUUAUAAUAAUUAAUGCUUUUAUCAUAAUAAAUAUAUCUUUAAUUUAGGUCUACAACAUAUUAAUAUAAAAAUGUAUACUAUGAGAUCAGCAGGAAUAGAUGAUGUAAUACUCUAUCCAGGGUAGCAUAGCAUAGGGAAGAAUGUUUGUAAUUGUUGGAUUAGAAGUUAACUACAUUGAUCCCUAUCCCUACCAGAGAAGUAACUGACUAAAUUUGAAGUUAACUAAAUUUAGGUUUAAGACCUUUGUUUUAAAAAAUAGAGUCUAAAGUCAUCCCAUGCAGACAAUUUAUAGAUUAUUAUUACACUUGUGUCAACCUCUCAAGGAUGCUUUCCUACUUGAGUGAUUGAGGGAAGGUGUGCUAUUUUGUGAAUGUAAUCAUUGUGCAUUUCGAAAAGAUACACAAAGAAUAUUUGGACUGACUGUUCUCAUGUGUUCCCGUCUCCCUCCUCUCUUCCUCCUUUGCUAAGGCUCGGUGUUGAGUCAGUGUUAAAGAGAGCAGCAUCUUCUUGCAUUUGGAGGUCCUUCAGAACGGGUGAGAUAUUGGUUGGUGAUUACCAGGCUAAUAUGUCCUUUGGGUCAGACACUCGUCCUAUGAAUCAGUUGUCUGUUACAGACUGGACUGUGGCUGUUGCCAGGUAAGGACAAAGCCCUGGGAAGUUGGUUCAGGGAUGGCUUGUCCAGUGUCUUGGAGCCCAUUGUUUCUCUGAGGCUUGGCGUAAGGUGUUAAUGAUGAUAUAUUUCUCCUGCAUAUAGGAACAGCUGAUUGGUUGGCUCUGCUAUUUGGUUUAAAUUUUUUUCCUGUGGUAAAUAUCUAACCCAAAACGUGCCGUUUCCAUGAUAUUGAGGAUACAAUUCAGCGGCAUUGAUUAUAUUUACACCAAUAUAAACAGCUGUCACUAGUGGCCCCUCUGAAUUCUACCAACCCAGUAGCAUUUACCUUUGAACUGACCUCUGCCUUUGUCCAUCAAAUUUCAGGCAUUAAAAUGGGGGCAGCUUGUUUUCCAGCUGAGGAUUUGUCUCAGGUCAUGCCUUUCCUUUGCUCUAGUGUCCUGUGACAUCGGUUUGCUCAUAGCGGUACAGUACCAGAUAUUGCUUUUACCAGAUAUUGCUUUUGGCUGAUGUCUCCACAAACAUUACUUGGAUUAGCAUUUGGGCCUUUAUCCCUCAACUAAACUUUUUAUCCCUGCAACUAGCCCGGAAAACAUUAAUAAUAAUAAUAAUAAUAAUAAUAAUAAUAAUAAUACCCGAAUCUCCAAGGAAGUCUGAUUGGUAUAUGUUGGCUAACGGUUGGCAAGGGCUGUCAGGAUUCAUUGGCAUUAGAGUCCUUUCGGAUUCCCAAGAGUCCUGCCCUCCUUAAUUGAGGUUGAAGUGUCCCUCAGUGGCUGUAAAGGCAUCCAGGACAUGUACAGCUUGAGUACUUUGGUUCUGCUCAAAUGCAGUGAUAGUCUAGAAAAGAAAAGGACAAAGAAAAGUUUUCAAUUAUUAGAAAAGCCCACUCAAGGUUAAAUAGUGGUUAUGAGGGGAGGGAAAAUAAAAAUCACAUUCAUCUGUGCUGGAAAAAAGGGGCGGGUUAGAGGAAACUUGGAUAGUUCUGGCUCCAGUAAAUAAUAGACUGGUUGCAGAACGGAGCUUCCAUGUGUAAUUUUGUGGUUAGUCGCUUAUGUCUGCGAUGAUAAAUCACAUACCUGCAUAGGAUUUUUGGCACCCCAGUAAAUCUCAAGCAAGUGCCCAAAUGCUAAUUUAUCACGGUUCCUUGGACAGCAUACCUCUUUUUACCAACUCAUGAUCUAAUAUCCUGUUCCUACCCUCUGAUCUGACUGUUUCAAACAAAUGCCUGCACAUCUACUCCUUGAGUCUUGGAGCUCUCACUGCUGGUACUUAAAACAAACCUGCCUUUCUAAGUGUCCCCAGGAUUAGGUUAAAAACUUCAGUUCAUGGAUAACCUAGUGGGCUUCUUUGAGUCCCUGCUUCUAAAAUUUUACCUGCACUGGUGGAUGCCUGACCUGAUUACUUAGCAGAAACAAUCCUGCAAACCUUAAAAACACUGCCUGGCUCACACAUCUUCAACGAUUCAGUUGCAGUAAGCUGUGGUCCCCAUACUCUGCCUUUCUAAGAUUCUUAAGGAUCCCUUUGUGCAAAGAGUUCUGGGAUUUCUUCGCAGGCACAGCGAAAGACUCCAGGGAUAUGCACACAUGUGAUACAUUUUAAGAUGUUUUGAGCCUUGCAAUUUGGAGGUACCAGUUUAGAACGUGAAUGCCACAGAGAUAGUAGAAUGGGUAGUGUGAUAGAAGAGCAGGGAAGGGAAAUAGCUGUAGCAGUAGUGGUAGCAUAGCCAUAGCCGUAGCUUAGCCCUAGCCAUAGCCGUAGUCAUAGCCAUAGCCGUAGCAUAGCCAUAGUCAUAGCUGUAGUCAUUUUUUCCCCUGCAGUGUACCAGGUUUUGGACAGCAAGUCUAAACUAAGCUGUGCAUUAAAAGAAGUAGCUGAAGGGUCCUAUGAGAAAAAAAAAGGGGGGGGUGUCUGAAGUUUAUUCCAAGAGCCAUAAAAUCAAACCAGGCAUCUAGAAACAGGCAGAAUGGUGGUCCUGUACUAGGUGGGCUCAUUGGCACUGCAGGAAUCUUUACUGAUCCUUACUCGGCUUUAGAUCUGGGUCUAGAUAGAAAUACUAAUUUUGAUGAAGUUAUUUCCACUAGGCCUCAUGAAAGGUUUAUAUUAAUGUCUGUGAAAGGAAAGGUAGCUUAAAAAAAAAAUCUGUUCAAUAAAUCCUUGUUAGUGAAAUUCCUUUUUGUUGGGUGUAGAGGCCCAGCUGACUUGACAGCCAUGAUAGCUAGCACUGCUGUGAUACUGACUUGCCGAAAAUGCAUCACAAGUUACCUUUGCGAAUUUGCAUCCAACCUCAGAGGAAUUGGGGGACAUCUUUUCAUCACUAUCAGUCUGGCUAGAACCGAAACCCAGCUUCCUUGAGUAGGAAAAAGCCCAGAACCACUGAAAUCUUGGACCUGCUCAUCAUCAUCCUCAUACUUUGCUCUCUCCUUGAACUUUUCUAGCCUUUAACAUUUUUUUUUUUUCUGGAGUGUACUGUACCAGGUUUUGGUAGCUAGGUACUCUGUUUAAGUAUCUCCAUUACAAAACUCCAUAGCUAAGGGGGUUUGUGUUAGCAUCACAGGAAGCUGCAGUACAGGUGGAAUGGCUGUGUGUCUCUUAUAACGGUGUGCCUAUGGUAUUACAGUACUCACAGCAAACAACCUAUAUGGUAAUUGCACAUUGUCCCGAGUGUGUUACAGGACCCUCUCAAGUGCAGGCAUGACUGGAAAGCUGUCUUAAAUUGUGUUCACUAGUCUCAUUCAGGCAACAUUACAGAUCUUUGGGCUAAUUUUAAAAUGGAAAAUGGAAAAUGGCCUGCAUUCAGACAUCUUUAGAACGUUUGAAAGCCAGUCAGCACCUCCAAGCUUCCUUCUGGUCAGAUCCUGGGUUCACUUACUCACCUCUUACAGGAGUUCUUUAGGUAAAUGCUGUCCAGUAGGACGUUCUGUAAUGGGGAAGCAUCGUAUAGUCUACACGGUACGAUUGUGUGAGCCACUAGCCACAUGGGACCAUGGAACACUCAAAGUGGGAUGGAGGGACUAACUUGCAAUGCUUAAAAUUAGUGUCAGUGCAGCUACUGGUGAAGAUUGGUUGCAAAGGACACCAAGGGCUCUUUGCUCUUCUCUAUGCAGUCAUAAGGCAAAUAUUUCGAGAAUACUGCAUUCAGUUCUCAAUCUAUGGUAAUUAGUGGGGACUUCCUCACUGAAAGGGCUUGCAGCCUGAUAAGGGAGAUGCUUACCUCACUAAUAAUCACUCAGGUGGUUAGUUGAUUAAGAAGGUGAUGGCUGUUACAAAGGAGAAAUGCAGGUUGGUAGAAGAAUGUACACCAGGACCCAUAACUUGUUAUAGGAUUAGUCAAGGGCUUUAGUACGGGAAAUGAUGAGGCAGAACACUUGAACUUUGCUAACUUCGAGGUGGGGUCAGGUUGGCUACAGGACCCACAGGUAUCAGACUCAGUCAGUCAGUACAUGCCCCGCCAUGACCUCCAAAGACAUGUAGUUUAUAAAAGCUACACGCACACUUUGGGCUCACAAACUUGAGCAAGUAGCUGCUUUCUUAAACUGUACGCAGUUGUCAUGAUGUUGGUUAUAGAUAAUAUGAGAUAAGAGGCUGCAGAUAUCUACAGGAUAUUGCAUUUCCUCACGAAAAUAUGCCUUGAUGAAGCUUCAGCCCCACUGUUCCCCACCCUGCUCAAGCAAAGUGGUGUUUGGUCCAUUCAAGAAAUGUGUAGAAAUCAGUACUGACGUCCCAGACAGACAAAAUGAGACACACGGCAGCAAAACAUAUGGCCUGGAAUAGACAUCCUUGUAUGGCCAACACGGACCAUAUUCCCAGAAACUCACACAUAGAGGACACCACCUGCAGCCGAAGCCAAAACAAAGGGUUGACAUGACAAAAAGCAAUGUGUGACACAGACUGAGCUACUUUGAGUGGAGACGGCCAACUGUAUUUGAAAUUAAAAAGAUAAACACAAGGCAAGACAUGUCCAUAGAAAGCGUUUUGCUGGUGAGUGUUGCUUUACUAACAGGCACCAGAGGAACCGCAGUAUCGGAAAGCAUUCAGGGUCGAAAUGCCUUCUCUGUUUAUUAAGACUAUACACACCAUUCACAGCUCUAAAUGUGUCUUAACGCCUUCGGAGAACAUCUGAAGCACGCAGCAGUCCUUUCAUGAAGUCUUUAAAAGUCUCGCGCAUUUGUUAUGAUAUUCCAUGGGCCUUUCCAUACAGUUCAGAUGCCCUUUUCCAUGCAAGAGAGGACUGAGGUGCUGUUCUGACGGUACCCAUGCGCUGAAUAGUUCACGCACUGGGGCUGCAGGACUUAGGCUGCUGCUGAAGUUCUCCAGUUCGAUAGCAAGAUUUAUAAAUCCUAAUUUGUUUUAACUUUUCUUCAACAGUCGCUUGUAUCUUUAUGGCUAAAGAUAAGAUGUCCCUGUAGAACCUGGUAGCAUUUUUGUCUCUAUCCUGACCGCUUAUGAUCACGUAGGUCUCGGAAGCCAAUAUAAUUUCCUUUCUUUUUCUCUUAUUAUUUUGAUGGGAUUUUACCGAUGAGGACUUAGUACCUAGAGCGCGUUUACUAAUGAGGAUGGUUACACACAUCGCAUACUCUCAUGAGCAUGUAUAGUAAGACAGCCCUUCACUAUGGUGCAUCAUGAGGUCUCAGCCUGAGGGCCUUUCUCCCCCGGACAGUUUUCAGGACAUAUACUUUAUUCUUUAAGAACUGAUAGCUUUAGGAGUGACAUAUGUGCAUGACUAAUAGGUUGGUGGUUUUCCUAUACUGUUACUCUUUAUAACAGUUACUAUUACAUGGCAUUUUGCUCCUUCAUUCCGUCAGUUCCCCAGGCCACGUUAGUCCUUACUCCAUACUUCAAUGGCAUUUGUUUAUAAAUAGGUUGUGGUUCCUGGGUAAAAGGUGCUGUCAAGACUAAAAUUUCCCAGGUUAUGUCAGCAUGGAUCAGGUCCCCGGGAGGCUGAGGAAAUCAGGAGGCAUUUUGUCACAUUUACUUGUGUAAAAUUAUUGGAGAAACAUAGUAUUUUCAUCCCCUUGUAGCCCAUCUCAGAAACCUUUUUGUGUUUUUAGUAUUCUUGUCUUUCAGCUCAGAAUUUGUUUUGACCAACAGUCUGCUCCUUCCUUCCUUCCUUCUUUUUUCUAAGAAUUCAAUUGAAGUUGACUUGCAUUAGCAAGUGACAUACUGCUGCCUUUGUAGGCCUGUAUAAUUUUUCUCUUUUUAUUAUUGUUUGUUAAUUCAUCCAGCAUGACACUAGAACACACUGUUCCUACUAAGAAAGGUCAGGUUUCAGGGAAACAUGUCAGGCAUUACCAAUUUGAAGGACUAUUCAGAUAUCCACAGUGGAGACUGAAAGUUUAAUGUAUCCUAUUGAAAAAACAUCAUUGUUCUUAUCAAGAUAAUCACGUGUGUUCUUUUAAAUAUCAAAUAUCUUUCAAAAUAAGCUUAGCCUCCAGUCACAAUACAGACUCCCACACAGGUGCUAUAUUUGGCUGUAUUUGUAUUUUCCUUAUUGAUUACUAUACUGUAAAUAGCCUCCAUAUUUCCCACACAUUUCAGCUUUAAAAAAUGUCCUUUUAGCCUUUGUGGUGAAGGUGGUUUAAACUUCCCUUGUUUUGGAUGGUAUGUUUCUGCCUUGCUAUCACAUGUCCUUUUUUUCUUUCUUUUUUUUCUCAAGGGUUUGGUGCCAAGAUUCACGGUUGCCUUCCUCAAUUUUGACUAACCUUUCCGGUUUGUGGUCGAACCUGGGUGCUCUUGGAGCAAUCUAUUUUCUUUGUGCUCCUCCUAAACUUGCACCCUCUACCCCACCCCAAGGGGCAGUAAUUUCCCCUACUUUACCUUCUGCUUUUUUUAGACUUCUAGUUGUAAACACUGUGCCUGAGAGUGUAUUGGUCGCUUUAAAGAGCUUCAUUUGCAUAUCUUCGUCCUUAUCUCUGCGGUUGUCCUAACUUGUUGCUUUAAAAAAAAAAGUGUAUCACAGUGUUUUUCAGUUCUACACAUCUCUCCCCUAAUCUAUUGCAUUCUUCAAAACAGUUCUUCAAAAUAUAACACUUGGCUCCUCCGGUGGCACAAACCUUAGUGAUUAAAAGAUGCAUUUUUUUUUUAAAUUUUAGGUGGAUGUCACGGUGUUCAUUUUUAUGUGGACUGUAUUUAGUAAAUUACCUAAAGGUCGUACUGUGUAAUAAUGGCCAGUAAUGUAACUGGGGAUCUUUUGUCGAUGACAAAAGUAUUUAUUGCUACAACAGAUGAAUUCACUAACCCAAACUUUCCUAUAUUCGCCCGAUGGGAAGUAUUUUAAGAGUGAUGACAUCUUUUCCUUUGUAAUGGCAAGUCAGGUGUGUGUUUCCAGUGACCCAAAUUUAGUUUAACUCCAGCACUACGGGCCGCGUUUCAGAAGUCCAAAGUAUCUAUGGCUCUGACUUGUUCGGAAAGCCCUUACUCAGUUGUUACUGCAUGUCACUCUUGGCAGUUAAGAGACCACAUUCCUUUGAGAAUAAGUACUAGGGCGAGCGUCACCCGGCUUCUUGCCUCUCUUGCCCUCCUACCCAGGCACUCCGCGGGGCUCUUCUCGCCAGCACGACUAGCUGCUUGCCCACCUCAAGUGACACCUGCACGCCCCCGCCCCCGUCCCCCCGGGGCGGCUCAGGGUCCUCUAGUCACCCCUCCUUCGCGCUGCCCGCACGCACCUGCCCGGG
ensembl:lncRNA